UAAUGUCUUGGUCCUGGACUUUCCGUUAUUUAUGACUAAGAUUACACAUGCAAGCAUCCACACUCCAGUGAGUUCGCCCAAUCACCAUAGGAGCAGGCAUCAGGCACAACCUUAUUUAGCCUAUAACGCCAAGGUGGCCCACACCCACACGGGUAUACAGCAGUGACCAAUAUUGGGCCAUGAGCUAACGCUCGACCAAGCUUUAGUCUAUGGGGGCCGGCAAACUUCGUGCCAGCCGCCGCGGUUAUACGAAGCUGGCCCCAUAUAACGAACAGCGGCACAAAGCGUGAACGCACAAUUUCAACUAAUUAAGCACCAACAAAGCCCCAUAAGUAAAACAAAAGUCUAAUGAACCCCAACAAAGAGCUUAAACCUAAGAAAAUUUUAAUUCACGAAAGUUGGGAAACAAACUAGGAUUAGAUACCCUACUAUGCCCAACCGUAAACACUGAUACCAUUUGUAUCCGCCAGAGAACAACGAGCCAAGCUUAAAACCCAAAGGACUUGGCGGCGUUCCAAACCACCCUAGAGGGGCCUGUCACGUAAUCGAUAACCCACGAUAAACCUCACCAUUUUUAGCCAAAAUCAGCCUAUAUACCGCCGUCGCCAGCUCAUCUUGAAAAAGAGAUAAAAUGGGCUUAAUAGUCCAAUAUCACUAACACGACAGGUCAAGGUGUAGCCCAUAAAAUGGUAAAUGAUGGACCACAUUGCUACUACAGCCCAACCAAAGUUGUACUGAAAAGUACAUUUUAAGGUGAAUUUAACAGUAAGGUAGACAAGAAAAUCCGCCUGAAAACUGCUCUGGAACGUGCACACACCGCCCGUCACCCUACUUUAAUUAACCUAAAACAAACAUAUAACGACAUCAAAAACAAGAGUAGGAAAGUCGUAACAAGGUAAGCGUACCGGAAGGUGCGCUUGGUAGA
rnacentral:ncRNA from 1 species